CAAGCGGUGGAGCAUGUGGUUUAAUUCGACGCAACGCGAAGAACCUUACCUGGGCUCGAACGGCUUUGGACGAUCUUUGGAAACAGAGAUUUUCCCGCAAGGGACUGAAGUCGAGGUGCUGCAUGGCUGUCGUCAGCUCGUGUCGUGAGAUGUUGGGUUGAGUCCCGCAACGAGCGCAACCCCUGUCCUGUGUUGCUAAUCCGCAAGGAUGCACUCUCAGGAGACCGCCAGCGAUAAGCUGGAGGAAGGUGGGGAUGACGUCAAGUCAUCAUGGCCUUUAUGUCCAGGGCUACACACGUGCUACAAUGGGCGGUACAGACCGCUGCAAACCCGCGAGGGGGAGCAAAUCGGAAAAAACCGUUCUCAGUUCGGAUUGCAGGCUGCAACUCGCCUGCAUGAAGCUGGAAUCGCUAGUAAUGGCAUAUCAGAACGAUGCCGUGAAUACGUUCCCGGGGCCUUGUACACACC
rnacentral:rRNA from 1 species